rnacentral:rRNA from 1 species
UUUAUGGAGAGUUUGAUCCUGGCUCAGGACGAACGCUGGCGGCGUGCCUAAUACAUGCAAGUCGAGCGGAUCUUCAAGGGAGCUUGCUCCCGAGAAGGUUAGCGGCGGACGG